rnacentral:rRNA from 2 species
CGGCCCAGACUCCUACGGGAGGCAGCAGUAGGGAAUCUUCCGCAAUGGACGAAAGUCUGACGGAGCAACGCCGCGUGAGUGAUGAAGGCCUUCGGGUCGUAAAGCUCUGUUGUUAGGGAAGAACAAGUACCGUUCAAAUAGGGCGGUACCAUGACGGUACCUAACCAGAAAGCCACGGCUAACUACGUGCCAGCAGCCGCGGUAAUACGUAGGUGGCAAGCGUUGUCCGGAAUUAUUGGGCGUAAAGGGCUCGCAGGCGGUUCCUUAAGUCUGAUGUGAAAGCCCACGGCUCAACCGUGGAGGGUCAUUGGAAACUGGGGAACUUGAGUACAGAAGAGGAGAGUGGAAUUCCACGUGUAGCGGUGAAAUGCGUAGAGAUGUGGAGGAACACCAGUGGCGAAGGCGACUCUCUGGUCUGUAACUGACGCUGAGGAGCGAAAGCGUGGGGAGCGAACAGGAUUAGAUACCCUGGUAGUCCACGCCGUAAACGAUGAGUGCUAAGUGUUAGAGGGUUUCCGCCCUUUAGUGCUGCAGCAAACGCAUUAAGCACUCCGCCUGGGGAGUACGGUCGCAAGACUGAAACUCAAAGGAAUUGACGGGGGCCCGCACAAGCGGUGGAGCAUGUGGUUUAAUUCGAAGCAACGCGAAGAACCUUACCAGGUCUUGACAUCCCAUGACAACUCUAGAGAUAGAGCGUUCCCCUUCGGGGGACAUGGUGACAGGUGGUGCAUGGUUGUCGUCAGCUCGUGUCGUGAGAUGUUGGGUUAAGUCCCGCAACGAGCGCAACCCUUGAUCUUAGUUGCCAGCAUUUAGUUGGGCACUCUAAGGUGACUGCCGGUGACAAACCGGAGGAAGGUGGGGAUGACGUCAAAUCAUCAUGCCCCUUAUGACCUGGGCUACACACGUGCUACAAUGGAUGGUACAAAGGGCUGCGAGACUGCGAAGUUAAGCGAAUCCCAUAAAACCAUUCUCAGUUCGGAUUGCAGGCUGCAACUCGCCUGCAUGAAGCUGGAAUCGCUAGUAAUCGUGGAUC